rnacentral:lncRNA from 1 species
GAAGAAGUAGAAGAAGAAAAAGAAGAAGACUAGAAGAAGAAGAAGAAGAGGAGGAGGAGGAGGAGGAAGAAGAAGAAGAAGAAGAAGAAGAUGAUGAUGAUGAUGAUGUCAUGAAGAAGAUGAAGAAGAAGUAGAAGAAGAAGAAAAAGAAUACUGGAAGAAAAAGAAGAUGAUGAUGAUGUGUUGAAGAAGAUGAAGAAGAAGUAAAAGAAGAAGAAGAAGAAGAAGACGAAGAAGAAGCAGACUAGAAGAAGAAGAAGAAGACAAAGACUAGAUGAAGCAGAAGAAGAAGAAGAAAA